AUGGUUUUCAAACUAGACUUCAGAAAGGCUUUUGACUCCGUGGCAUGGCCUGCUCUCGACAAAAUCAUGGCAAUUCGCGGGUUCUCUCCAAUCUUCCGCAGCUGGAUCCAAAAUCUUCUCCACACAGGCAAAAUAGUAGUUCUCUUGAAUGGGAUCCCGGGCAAAUGGAUCCAAUGCAAAAAUGGUUUGAGACAAGGUGAUCCGGCCUCACCC
rnacentral:rRNA from 1 species